rnacentral:rRNA from 1 species
AUGGAUUCGCCUUUCUGGAAAGGUCUGAUGAGAGUUAAAUCAAUCUUUUUUAAUCGGACGAAGUUUGUUAUUAGGAACGGUACUUCUACGAGAUUCUGGGAGGAUACGUGGCUAGGGGAUACGCCCCUCGCGCUUCAAUGUCCUUCUCUAUAUAGCAUUGUUCAACAGAGAGAUGCAACCGUUGAGACAGUAUGUCAGUCCACGCCUCUUAAUAUUCACUUCAGGAGAGCGCUAGUCGGAAACCGUUGGGAAGCCUGGCUCCAUCUUGUGAGAAGAUUGAUGGAUGUUCAACUAACUCAACGACCCGAUCAGUUGUGUUGGAAGCUAACUAGGAAU